AGUAAUACAUCGGAACGUGUCUUCUAGUGGGGGAUAACUGCCCGAAAGGGCAGCUAAUACCGCAUGAGACCUGAGGGUGAAAGCGGGGGAUCGCAAGACCUCGCACUGGAAGAGCGGCCGAUGUCCGAUUAGCUAGUUGGUGAGGUAAAGGCUCACCAAGGCGACGAUCGGUAGCUGGUCUGAGAGGACGACCAGCCACACUGGGACUGAGACACGGCCCAG
rnacentral:rRNA from 1 species